GACACAAGUGAUGAAUGUCAAGGGACUUAAUACUGAAACCUCAUGUUGCUGUGCGAUAUGCUGAUGUGC